CCCAGGUCAGGCGGGGCUACCCGCUGAAUUUAAGCAUAUCAAA
rnacentral:rRNA from 1 species